rnacentral:rRNA from 1 species
AACUUAAGCAUAUCAAUAAGCGGAGGAAAAGAAAAUAACAAUGAUUCCCCUAGUAACUGCGAGUGAAGAGGGAUAAGCUCAAAUUUUAAAUCUAUCGGGUUUUACCUGAUCGAGUUGUAAUUUGAAGAAGCGUUUUCUGCGUUUUUGGUCAGCCCAAGUCCUAUUGAAUGAGGCAUCAUGGAGGGUGAUAAUCCCGUCCGGUUGAUCAUUUGCGUUUUACGAUACGCUUUCUAAGAGUCAAGUUGUUUGGGAUUGCAGCUUAAAAUGGGAGGUAAAUUUCUCCUAAGGCUAAAUAACGGCGAGAGACCGAUAGCGAACAAGUACCGUGAGGGAAAGAUGAAAAGAACUUUGAAAAGAGAGUUAAACAGUACGUGAAAUUGUUGAAAGGGAAACGAUUGAAGCCAGUCGUACCUUCGGGUAAUCAGCUUUUCGGGUGCGAUUCUGUGGAGUGUGAUGAGCUUAACACCUUCAUGCUUUGCAUAUUUGUGCUCUUGGGUGUACUUGCCCGUGUGGUUGGUUAACAUCAAUUUUGGUUAUCAUAAAAUGAUUGGAGGAAUGUAGCUUCGAUCUCGUAUUGAAGUGUUAUAGCCUUCGGUAGAUGUGAUGAACGAGAUUGAGGAUUGCAACGGAUACCCUUCGGGGCUACCUGUCUGGUCUCUGAUCGUUGUUCUGGUGCCGAAAGCUUGCUUACGGUCAUCAAAGUCGAUGGUCAAUAGGUUAGAACGGGUUAAAUUCGUUAAGGAUGUUGACGUAAUGGCUUUAAACGACCCGUCUUGAAACACGGACCAAGGAGUCUAACAUAUAUGCGAGUGUUAGGGUGAUUAAACCCUUACGCGUAAUGAAAGUAAUUUUGGUGGGAACACUUUUGUGCACCAUCGACCGAUCAGGAUAUUUUUUGAUAGAUUUGAGUAAGAGCAUAUCUGCUAGGACCCGAAAGAUGGUGAACUAUGCCUGAAUAGGGUGAAGUCAGAGGAAACUCUGAUGGAGGCUCGUAGCGGUUCUGACGUGCAAAUCGAUCGUCAAAUUUGGGUAUAGGGGCGAAAGACUAAUCGAACCAUCUAGUAGCUGGUUCCUGCCGAAGUUUCCCUCAGGAUAGCAGAAACUCGUCAACAGUUUUAUGAGGUAAAGCGAAUGAUUAGAGGCCUUAGGGUCGAAAUAGCCUUAACCUAUUCUCAAACUUUAAAUAUGUAAGAAGUUUAUCGUUACUUAAUUGAACGUGAACAUUCGAAUGAGAGUUUCUAGUGGGCCAUUUUUGGUAAGCAG